rnacentral:rRNA from 1 species
AUACGGAGGGUGCGAGCGUUGUUCGGAAUUAUUGGGCGUAAAGCGCGUGUAGGCGGUCUUUUAAGUCUGAUGUGAAAGCCCCGGGCUCAACCUGGGAAGUGCAUUGGAAACUGGGAGACUUGAAUACGGGAGAGGGUAGUGGAAUUCCUAGUGUAGGAGUGAAAUCCGUAGAUAUUAGGAGGAACACCGGUGGCGAAGGCGGCUACCUGGACCGAUAUUGACGCUGAGACGCGAAAGCGUGGGGAGCAAACAGGAUUAGAUACCCUGGUAGUCCACGCCGUAAACGAUGAGUACUAGGUGUUGCGGGUAUUGACCCCUGCAGUGCCGCAGUUAACGCAUUAAGUACUCCGCCUGGGAAGUACGGUCGCAAGACUAAA